CAGAUGGGAUUAGCUAGUUGGUGGGGUAACGGCUCACCUAGGCGACGAUCCCUAGCUGGUCUGAGAGGAUGACCAGCCACACUUGAACUGAGACACGGUCCAGACUCCUACGGGAGGCAGCAGUGGGGAAUAUUGCACAAUGGGCGCAAGCAUGAUGCAGCCAUGCCGCGUGUAUGAAGAAGGCCUUCGGGUUGUAAAGUACUUUCAGCUAGGAGGAAGGCGUUGCGGUUAAUAACCGCAGCGAUUUACGUUAAUCG
rnacentral:rRNA from 1 species